UACAUGGGGUGCAAACGUUGCUCGGAAUCAUUGGGCGUAAAGCGCGCGUAGGCGGUUACUUAAGUCGAAUGUGAAAGCCCUCGGCUUAACCGAGGAAGUGCAUCCGAAACUGAGUAGCUAGAGUACGAAAGAGGGUCGCGGAAUUCCCGGUGUAGAGGUGAAAUUCGUAGAUAUCGGGAGGAACACCGGUGGCGAAGGCGGCAUCCUGGACCGAGAUUGACACUGAUGAGCGAAAGCUAGGGGAGCAAACGGG
rnacentral:rRNA from 1 species